GGAAGGAGCUAAAGGUCAAAAGCCAAGGAAGGCAUUUCCUCUGCCUUUCUCGUCCACCUUUCACUUGGUCUUCCGGGAUGCAGGGGGAGUCCCACCGAGCUUCGAGUUUCAUUUUGAUUAACUUUGCUCCCUGACCUCUCUCAGCAAAGUCCAAGGCAACCGAAGGUUUGCUUUUAUACACAUGUGCCUUAUCUGCCCCGACCAGCAGUGUGAACUGUGGGAUCUCUGGCUUCAGAGGAAUGUAAAGAAGAGAGACAUGUCCACUCCACCCUUGUUCUACUGGACAACGUAACCCUGGCAGGUCUAGAGUCAACAGCAGUGUCAACACUGAGCUUCCUGGAAAUAUUUUCUCUGAUAAAACAUUCCAAGGGGUGUGUAGAGCUCACUCUGGCCUUGUUUGCAGAAUGAAGCCUGCAAUAAAACUCUUGGCUGGACCAAUAUAGAAACCCCUGGGAGUGAAUAAUUUGAGUCCUCCUGUCAGAAAACUCACAAAAGAGAGGGAGGGGCAGAGCAGAAAAGGAAAUGCACUUCAUUUCACCUGGAAAAAGAAUGCUCCCAUUUGUUUGCCAGAAAUCCAGGAAUCUCAAAUUAGGAUGCUUGAGGUCACUCAUUAGGGAA